UGUAAGCGUAUACCAAAGUUGUUGCAGUUAAAACGCUCGUAGUCGGAAUUUGGCAGUUCCGGAUGUGUGCACGUCGUGUGCGCACUUCGCGGGGAUUGCUUUUGUGGUCUUGCGUAGGAUGAGGCACUUUUAUUAGUGAACGUCCUCACGCAACCACUUUUUACUGUGAGAAAAUCAGAGUGCUCAAAGCAGGCAUUUGCCGCGAAUGUAUUAGCAUGGAAUAAUAGAAUAGGACUUGGUUCUAUUUUGUUGGUUUGUUGGGACUGAGUAAUGAUUAAGAGGGACAGUUGGGGGCAUUUGUACUUCGGUGCUAGAGGUGAAAUUCUUAGAUUACCGAAAGACAAACUGCUGCGAAAGCGUCUGCCAAGGAUGUUUUCAUUGA
rnacentral:rRNA from 1 species